CCUACGGGAGGCAGCAGUGAGGAAUAUUGGUCAAUGGACGAGAGUCUGAACCAGCCAAGUAGCGUGAAGGAUGACUGCCCUAUGGGUUGUAAACUUCUUUUAUAUGGGAAUAAAAUGUUCCACGUGUGGGACUUUGUAUGUACCAUAUGAAUAAGGAUCGGCUAACUCCGUGCCAGCAGCCGCGGUAAGACGGAGGAUCCGAGCGUUAUCCGGAGUUAUUGGGUUUAAAGGGAGAGUAGGUGGAUUGUUAAGUCAGUUGUGAAAGUUUGCGGCUCAACCGUAAAAUUGCAGUUGAAACUGGCAGUCUUGAGUACAGUAGAGGUGGGCGGAAUUCGUGGUGUAGCGGUGAAAUGCUUAGAGAUCACGAAGAACUCCGAUUGCGAAGGCAGCUCACUGGACUGCAACUGACACUGAGGCUCGAAAGUGUGGGUAUCAAACAGGAUUAGAUACCCCAGUAGUC
rnacentral:rRNA from 1 species